rfam:Schistosoma rodhaini strain Burundi genome assembly, scaffold: SROB_scaffold0001845
AUCUGUCUGAUGAGUCCCAGAUAGAAGGAAACGAGCGUAUCAGAU